GUUAUUCUUACCUGUUUUGUCUGUCCUUUCAUAUUCUUAUGCAGAGUUUGUGACACUACUUAUCUUUGUUGUUUAUUCAGCCAAAUAGGAUUACCUUUAACUUGACACCAGAGAUCAUUCUUCAGGGGUGAGUAUGGCUUUUGGACAGCAUUCUUGGCACUGCUUAUUCACCUUUUCAUCUUCUUUCCUGACGAUGAAAUGAACACGAGGGACGUCACCCAUACUGAGCCUAAUAUUGAAUCUCUUGUUUUCUGCUUUGGAAUUUUAUUUCAU